rnacentral:rRNA from 1 species
UACAGAGGUGCCGAGCGUUAGGCGGAAUCACUGGGCUUAAAGCGUGUGUAGGCGGAUGCCUAAGUACCUUGUGAAAUCCCACGGCUUAACCGUGGAACUGCUCGGUAUACUGGGUGUCUUGAGCCACUUAGGGGUUACCGGAACAAAUGGUGGAGCGGUGAAAUGCGUAGAUAUCAGGAGGAACACCAAUUGCGAAGGCAGCUCGCUGGGACGUUACUGACGCUGAGACGCGAAAGCGUGGGGAGCAAACAGG